rnacentral:tRNA from 1 species
ACCCGGCUAGCUCAGCUGAGCAUGAAACUCUUGAUUUCAGGGUUGUGGGUUCAAGCCCCACGUUAGGUG